rnacentral:rRNA from 1 species
UACGAAGGGGGCUAGCGUUGUUCGGAGUUACUGGGCGUAAAGGGCGCGUAGGCGGCGCACCAAGUCAGGCGUGAAAGCCCUGGGCUCAACCCGGGAAUUGCGCUUGAGACUGGUGUGCUUGAGUACGGGAGAGGAUAGUGGAAUUCCCAGUGUAGAGGUGAAAUUCGUAGAUAUUGGGUGGAACACCGGUGGCGAAAGCGGCCCCCUGGCCCGGUCCUGACGCUGAGGCGCGAAAGCUAGGGGAGCAAACAGG